UGUAGGGGCUGCUGCACUUGGAAGAUAGCCCUGAAGGGUGACUCUGAAGUUAACUGCCAAGAAAUGAAAUCCGCAAAGGAAAACUACGACAACCUUAAAGUUCAAAUUCCCAAUAAAGUAGGGGAAACACUGUCAAAAACCGAGAAAGUGCGUCCCAAGGCGAAACCGCGUCUUGACUCGACUACAACAGGGCUGAGUUCCCCUAGACUGUCUGUCACUCAUUGUCGCACUCAGAGAAGGCAUUCCACUGUCAGCUUGUCCGGCUGGACUCGGGACACACAUGAUGGCAAACCUGCAAAGAAAAUCUGUAAGGCACCUGUUAAAAGGCCAGUUACCAGGAUAGCUUCCUCUAGAACAGGGACUGCCAUUCAGGCUUGCAAGAAACUCGGUGAAGUUCCAGAAUGCAGUGUUUCUCAUGCUGCUCAGUGCAAAGAGGGUUCUUGUGCUUCCAGUCACGUCUGUGAUGAUACAGUUGAAACUUUUGAAGAUUUUCAACAACAGGUUUUGAAAGUUCUUAAGCAUGAGGGAGAAAGCCAAUGUCAGGAACACAGAGGAUCCAAAAUUCUGAAGACUGGCAAAAAUAAUCUUGCUGACUUUAAACAAGAUACACUGCCCGAUCGUAUCUUGAGACCACGCAGAAGAACGAGUUACAAUUUGAGAAGAAAGGUUUCGGACAACAUGGAGAAAAAGUGGUUAAAUAAUGACUACCUAGACAAUCUGGUGCAAAACAAUGAAUUCUACCCCAAUUCUCAAAGGACAUAUCCGGAAGAGAUCCCAGAGAAAUGGAGAAAGCAGUCACCAACUCCAUUAAAAUAUAGACCCCAGUUUCCUGAUCGCACAGGCUCUGCACUAUUAGAGAGUAGUAAUUCUGUUGCGCCUGCAUAUUCUGAAUUUCAGCAUUUCUAUAAAGAUUGUGAAUAUUUAACUGGAGAGAAUGCCCAUCACCAUGAAGAAUGUUGGAACACCCCCAUUAGAAUUCACAGUGGAGAGCCUAGCCAGAGCAUCCAGUAUUCAAACAGUGUCGGUGAGACUGAACUCAACAUUGUCCAGCAGUCACUCUGUGGAAAGAAUCUGAAUGAAAGGGAUGAAAACAAAAAGAAUAUAAAGAAAAAAUAUCUAGGAGGCAUGCUGUUUUUCUUAAUCAUAAUCUUUUUUAUCCUACUGGUGUUUUAUUGCCAAUCAGUAUUAACCAUGGAAAAUGAUAAUUUUGCUAGGAAAAACAAUGGGUAUUAUAGCCAGUAUCAUUAAAUUAGAUUUGCACAACAUUACGGGUAUCUCUACCAAUAUUAUUCUUAAGUAGUGCAUCAUCAUUUAUUGUUUUUUUCUGUUGCUUUAAAAAGUUACUGUACGCUUCAAAAUAAACACAUUUUCCAUCU
rnacentral:lncRNA from 1 species